UACGAAGGGGGCUAGCGUUGCUCGGAAUCACUGGGCGUAAAGCGCACGUAGGCGGAUUGCUAAGUCAGGGGUGAAAUCCUGGAGCUCAACUCCAGAACUGCCCUUGAUACUGGCGGUCUCGAGUCCGGGAGAGGUGAGUAGAACUGCGAGUGUAGAGGUGAAAUUCGUAGAUAUUCGCAAGAACACCAGUGGCGAAGGCGGCUCACUGGCCCGGUACUGACGCUGAGGAGCGAAAGCGUGGGGAGCGAACAGG
rnacentral:rRNA from 1 species